UACAGAGGGGGCAAGCGUUAUUCGGAAUUAUUGGGCGUAAAGGGCGCGUAGGCGGUCUUGCAAGUCCCGUGUGAAAUCCCUCGGCUCAACUGAGGAACUGCACGGGAAACUGCUUGGCUUGAGUUCGGGAGAGGGAAGCGGAAUUCCGGGUGUGAGCGGUGAAAUGCGUAGAUAUCCGGAGGAACACCGGUGGCGAAGGCGGCUUCCUGGACCGACACUGACGCUGAGGCGCGAAAGCGUGGGGAGCAAACAGG
rnacentral:rRNA from 1 species